rnacentral:rRNA from 1 species
GACGAACGCUGGCGGCGUGCCUAAUACAUGCAAGUCGAGCGAGCGGAACUAACAGAUUUACUUCGGUAAUGACGUUAGGAAAGCGAGCGGCGGAUGGGUGAGUAACACGUGGGGAACCUGCCCCAUAGUCUGGGAUACCACUUGGAAACAGGUGCUAAUACCGGAUAAGAAAGCAGAUCGCAUGAUCAGCUUUUAAAAGGCGGCGUAAGCUGUCGCUAUGGGAUGGCCCCGCGGUGCAUUAGCUAGUUGGUAAGGUAAAGGCUUACCAAGGCGAUGAUGCAUACCGGGUGUGCGAGAUUGGGCGCCCAAAUGGGAAUUGAAAACCGCCCAAAACCCCAGGGGGGGGAAGCAGUGGGGAUUCUUCAAAAAUGGCGGCAAGUCGGAUGGAGCACCCCGGGGUGAGGAAAGAUGUUUUUGGGAUCGAAAACCUGUUUUGUGGGGAAAAAAGGAAAGGGGUAGUAACUGCCUUUUUUUUGAGGGAAACCAACAAAAAAGCCACGGCAAACUACGUC